AAGUCGUAACAAGGUUUCCGUAGGUGAACCUGCGGAAGGAUCAUUAACACGUAUCCAACGUUAAACCCCCCCGUGAAUAUUAAGCGUGCUCUUGCUGCCCGGUCAAUGGCCAGCAAUCCCUGGUAAAUCAUGUCGAACAGUAUUGAUUCAGGGACUUCUGCCCGACUGAGAAGUUACAGCGGCAAUAGAGCGCUUGAAGCAAGUGGUUUGGUUUCCCCUCAAAUUCACUUCAAUGAAUGAAAGUGUCAUUGAAGUGUGAUGGGGAGAACGCUUAACGAACACUGUAGGCCAACACUGGCCGGUGUCCAGACCCUUAUCACCACAUGUCAGCGUAGGCCCUUCUGUCGUGGUUGGGCAUUAAAACGAACAACUGUUAACAAUGGAUCUC
rnacentral:misc_RNA from 1 species